GCCGAAGUGGCGGAAUUGGCAGACGCACCUGACUCAAAAUCAGACGUGUACUCCACGUGCCGGUUCGAGUCCGGCCUUCGGCA
rfam:Pelosinus sp. TFO1, complete genome.